AUGGAUAAUCUCUAUCCAAGCAAUCUUGUCUUGGCCCCUUAACAUCUGACAGCUCUAAUGUGAGUCCCAGGCCUUUCCAGAAUUUACAAGCCCCCAGUUCUGCAGAAAUAUAAAUGAUGUACUAUCUUUUACUUUCAUUUGGCAAAGGAACUUGCAAUGCUUGAAGUAUUUUAUCAUUUAUAGUUAUUUUCCGUGCAUUGAGUACUUAUUACAGCUAUCUAUGCAAAUGUUGGGCAUAUAAAAAAGUGAAGAACAACAAAUUUUGAUUGAAGAUGUUGGUGUGGGAUCUUCUGCACCAAUAGGAGCAAAUAAACAAACAAGUGAAGAUGACACAAAGAUUCCAUAUUCGGUUCGUUUUCUGGAGUGGGCAUGUGAUUUGGAGGGUUUUGUUCUAUAAGGCUAUGGUGAUUCUGCCAUUGCUCAAGGAUGUUGUCCAGUCAAUGGAAGAAACAAUCAAUAGCUAGAGAAGGUGUCAUGCAGAGGAGCAUAAUACGACACAGAAGGAUAGGCAUCCAGCCAUCACAAAACAGAAGCAUGCGUGCCAAUCUGCGGUUACGUGCAAUAAAUAUAACCUUCUAGGGUAAAAUAAACCAGCAACACUUAUAAUAUAGCCGCACGCAUGCACCUGUUCUAUUUUUUGUUGGAAUCAGAUGCAUUUAUGAUUUA